rnacentral:rRNA from 1 species
GACGAACGCUGGCGGCGUGCUUAACACAUGCAAGUCGAACGGAAAGGCCCUGCUUUUGUGGGGUGCUCGAGUGGCGAACGGGUGAGUAACACGUGAGUAACCUGCCCUUGACUUUGGGAUAACUUCAGGAAACUGGGGCUAAUACCGGAUAGGAGCUCCUGCUGCAUGGUGGGGGUUGGAAAGUUUCGGCGGUUGGGGAUGGACUCGCGGCUUAUCACCUUGUUGGUGGGGUAGUGGCUUACCAAGGCUUUGACGGGUAGCCGGCCUGAGAGGGUGACCGGCCACAUUGGGACUGAGAUACGGCCCAGACUCCUACGGGAGGCAGCAGUGGGGAAUAUUGCACAAUGGGCGGAAGCCUGAUGCAGCAACGCCGCGUGCGGGAUGACGGCCUUCGGGCUGUAAACCGCUUUCGCCUGUGACGAAGCGUGAGUGACGGUAAUGGGUAAAGAAGCACCGGCUAACUACGUG